UCCGGGGUAGCUCAGCGGCAGAGCAGCUGACUGUUAAUCAGCGGGUCGUGGGUUCGAAUCCCACCCCCGGAGCCA
rnacentral:tRNA from 5 species